rnacentral:rRNA from 1 species
AACGAACGCUGGCGGCAUGCCUAACACAUGCAAGUCGAACGAGACCUUCGGGUCUAGUGGCGCACGGGUGCGUAACGCGUGGGAACCUGCCCUUAGGUUCGGAAUAACUCCCCGAAAGGGGUGCUAAUACCGGAUAAUGUCUUCGGACCAAAGAUUUAUCGCCUUUGGAUGGGCCCGCGUUGGAUUAGCUAGUUGGUAGGGUAAAAGCCUACCAAGGCGACGAUCCAUAGCUGGUCUGAGAGGAUGAUCAGCCACACUGGGACUGAGACACGGCCCAGACUCCUACGGGAGGCAGCAGUGGGGAAUAUUGGACAAUGGGCGAAAGCCUGAUCCAGCAAUGCCGCGUGAGUGAUGAAGGUCUUCGGAUCGUAAAACUCUGUUAUUAGGGAAGAACAAAUGUGUAAGUAACUAUGCACGUCUUGACGGUACCUAAUCAGAAAGCCACGGCUAACUACGUG